GAGGCCGGGAGGAUGGCGCGGGCCUCACUAGUGCAGCCGGCGCUCUGGGCGCUGCUGUUGCUGCAGGUAGUGGGUCCCGCCGCGGCCGCCAAGCUUAACAUUCCCAAGGUGCUGCUGCCCUUCACGCGGGCCACGCGCGUGAACUUCACUCUGGAAGCUUCUGAGGGCUGCUACCGCUGGUGAGGCGCGCGGGCCCGGCGGGAGGCGGCAGGUGCGCGCGGGAGGGGGCUUGGGCCGCAGGUGCGUGGCGUGCUCGCUCCAGCCGGCCCCGCGUGACCCCGCGGCGCGCGCGCUCUCUCUCUGCGCAUGGCGCCUGGGCCACUCGCGUCUGGGCUGCGCGGGAAGAGGAGGCUGUGAUCGCGGGCCAUGGAGGGCAGCGCCGCACGUGGCCUCGGUCCCCAGCUGUCAGGGCCCUGAGGAGCUCCAGCUUGAGCAGCCACGCUCUGGAGUCUGUGGGAGACGGGGGAGGUGGGACUCACCCCUGGCGCCUGACUGGUGUGAGAAGAGUGUCUGUAGAGACCUGGGCAAGGAGUCUGUGGGAGACACACCACACCCGUUAAGCCACUUAGGGAGAGUCAUUAAAUCUUGGAUGAAAGGACCAUUUUCCAGCUCAGAAGUGGGAGGCAAAGGAAUUAGAUGCUGGUGGAGUAGGGUCUGCCUUGAUGACCUGGCUUCCAGCAGGGUGUUGCGGUCCAGCCUUUGGCUAGGCAGAUGAAGGGAGAACUUCUCGUUGCUGGGUGCAGGCUGAGUAGGGUGUGAUCAGGUCACACCCUUGACCCACACCCUCACUAGUGCGACAUAGUCCCUUCCUUCUCUCAGGCUACAUUUUGCUGCCAGCCUCCUUAAGAAUGUGUUUAGGUCAUUGGUUCUCAACCUGUGGGUUAAAACCCAGUUUGGGGCCUCCUGUCAGAUAUUCACAUUAUGAUUCCAACAGUAGCAACAUUACAGUUAUGAAGUAACAACAAAAUAAUUUUAUGGUUUUAGUACAGUUCAACAACAGAGGAAUUGUAGUAAAGGCUUACAGCAUUAGGAAGGUUGAGAACCACUGAUCUAGGCUAAGGCUUAACUAGCUAGGUGUGUGUGUGUUAAUGUUCUAUAUGAUGCCCAGAGCUCAGAGCCACAUUCUGCUAUAUGUAGUUCUCAAAUUUAAUUUGUUUUAAAAGUCUGCCUCAUAGGGGGUGGCACUGUACCUCUAUAAUUACUUCACUAGGGAGGCUGAGGCAGUAGUGCCGCUUUGAGGUCAGUCUGGAGUGUCUUUAGGUUGGCCUCUGGAGUAUGAAGAGGCAGAGUCUUUCCAUUGCAGUUUGGAGUAAAUGCUUUACCCAAGGGGAAGUGUUUAUUCUUCUCUGGGGCUUUGUUUUGAGUGAGGAGGUCAGCUGUUAAUACUCUGGAGGGAUACAUGCUCACUCCAUUGUUGAAGUUGUCUGCUUGAUAGAUGGGCCAGAGAGAGGAAGCUGACUAUUUAAAACAGCUGGCUCCAAGGGAAUCAAUCUCCUGGCGUGUAUUUGUGUGCUGCUUCCUAGGAAGUUCUGUAUGUUUCUUCCUAGAAUAACAUUUUCUGUCUUUACUUCCUCUCUAACUGCACUUUCCUGAGAGUUGCUGAUGGGUCUUGGCAGAUUUUUAUAUUCUCAGUAGGAGGACUGGGAAAGACAUUCAAAAGCUCAGAUACCUCAGACGCAUGCCAAGUACCCUCUGGAUUGUUUAGUGUCUGGUGGCUUUCAUCCUAAGGUGUGGUUGAAAAGUGUCUUCUUUGAAGGUGUUUGGUUGCAGUUUCCCCCUUACUCAACCGGAAGCUGGUCUGUCAGUCAAGCAUAGAUCAGAAAUGUUAUUCUGAAUACAGUCACUCGUUGCUUUAGUUUUGAGAAUCCUGGAGGCUUUGAGAGUUGGCAGAUAGCUAAGACUCACACCUGCAGUCAUCUCUCCCUGGAGGAGAUGGCCUCUUUAUCCAGGAGUACUUCAAGUCUCUGAGAUGAAAAACAAAGACAAUUUAACCCCUGCCAGGCCCUGGGGGUGUUGCUCAUCCUUGGAAUUCAGUGCUGAGCUCCAGGUUCUCUGAAGUGACUGCAUGUCUGAGCCUGUAGCUUUAAGUUACCUUUCCUAGUUCCUGAAUUGUAGCAUCCAGUAACUGGGAGGUCAUCUGGUCGGUGUUGCUGCGUUUGAGGGAAUGCAGAGAGGGAAGAGGUGGCAGCUCACUCACAGUGUGGUGAUGGUGAUGGUGCUGAAGGCCUUCCAGCCCAUCAUCCAUCAGUGGGACCUGGGGCCACAGCCUUGGCAAACUUGCCAGGCUCAUUUGUCUUUCCAGUUAAACCCAGACAGCUUUGCUGCAGACCAAGUUAUGAUUUAGCGUAAGCUACUUUGCAUGGAAAAUUAUUUUAUUGGUUCCUUUAAAAGGUAUCCUUGUAUAUACAAAUGAUAUCCACAAAAAACUUGAAUUGAGAGG
rnacentral:lncRNA from 1 species